ACGGCCGUACCAUGCUGAAUAUACCGGUUCUCGUUAGAUCACCGAAGUUAAGCAUCAUUCUGCGCGGUCAGUACUUGGGUGGGUGACCACCUGGGAACACCGCGUGC
rnacentral:rRNA from 1 species